rnacentral:rRNA from 1 species
UACAGAGGGGGCAAGCGUUAUUCGGAAUUAUUGGGCGUAAAGGGCGCGUAGGCGGCCUUGCAAGUGACGGGUGAAAUCCCUCGGCUUAACCGAGGAACUGCCUGUCAAACUGCGAGGCUUGAGUCCGGGAGAGGUGAGUGGAAUUCCCAGUGUAGCGGUGAAAUGCGUAGAUAUUGGGAGGAACACCAGUGGCGAAGGCGGCUCACUGGACCGGUACUGACGCUGAUGCGCGAAAGCGUGGGGAGCAAACAGG